GGUGGGGUAGCCAAGUGGUUGUACGGCACCGCUUUCGAAAAGUGGCGUAGCAGCAAUGUUACCGUGAGUUCGAAUCUCACCCCCACCG
rnacentral:tRNA from 1 species